ACAGACAUUCAUCCUGGCCCCUAUGCAGAACAAGGUUCCCGACCCCUGGUGUAAAACAAGAUCUUGGCAUGUAAACAAUUAACUUUCAGGGAUAGUGUGCCAUCUCGAUGGGAAAACUCUUCAGCACCUGAUGAGCGGAGGGGGACUCUGAAUGACACACUGCACUGAAUCACAAACGAUGACAAGAAAGAUUACAGGAAGGAGAUAGACAACUUCAUGACAUGGUGUCAGGAAUAACCUCUCGCCUAAUGUCAGCAAGAUGAAGGAUUUGGUUAUCGA